UAACUCUGGUCUUCCCUCAAAUCGUAUAAAUCUUUCGCCUUUUACUAAAGAUUUCCGUGGGGAGGACAAAUGAAGAGUGUACCAACACAAAUUUUUUUAAGGGCCUCAUCAUUGGCCUG